rnacentral:lncRNA from 1 species
ACUUUCUGGUUUGUCUUAAAGCCGGAUACCAACAUUCAAUGUUCAGUUAGCAGUGAAGAUAUCGAAAAAAGCUUCAAAACAAACCCUUGUGGCUCCAUUUCCUUUACUACUUCCAAAUUCAGCUACAAGAUAGACUUUGCAGGUAUGUUUUCCCGCCUAGUCGUGUGUUUCUAGAAUAUUCCUAGACUCUCAGCACAGUGAAGACUGCAGCUCUGAAGUGCAGGAUUAGCCCAGAUGUCUUGAAGCAUGAAGUAAAUCCUCCUGUUCUCUGCUCAAUCAAACCUGCACUGUCAACUCUUGAGCAGCCCUGCCAUUGAUAAAAGCAUGUUUCUAUGUUCUUGUCUGUUAACAUAUGUGCUGUUGGCCAUGUGUUUUGAGUUCAUGUAAAGCUCUUUAUAACUUUUGGUUUUGUCUUUGCUUUUUGUUUUGUUUUUGUUUUUGUUUUUUGUUUUUUGAGGUGAGGUCUCCCUGUAUUGCUGGGCUGGUCUUAAACUCAAAAUCCUCCUGCCUCAGCCCUUGGAGUAGCUGGAUUGCAGGUCUGUAAUGCUAUGCCUGUCUUAUAGCUUUUAAUUUACUCUGCACCCCAGCAGCCUGGAGAUUGCUUUGAAUUGGGAAGCUUUUUAUCUUACAGAUCAAGCAGAUAAUAAAAGAGGAAGUCACUGUUGGCUGGUGACUGUCUCAAGGCAAAGUGAAGCCAUGUGACCUUUCUGCUGCUACUUAGGUCAAAUGGCUGCCUCUUUCAGUGGCUGCUCUUGGGGUGGUUCCUCAUUUCCCUGGUUCUUUCACGGAUGAGCCCAGCUGAUGUGCAGAUCAGCCUCAGUUUGGACGCAUGCCACCCUGUCUUUCACCCCCCGUGCAGGGCCGUGUUAUCAGGUGUCUCAGGAAAGCACUGUUGAAUUCAGCCCAUAAGUCCCAGGCUGCCUUCACACUGUUUAUGGCUUUGAUGUGAAGGAGGUGUGAGCGGGGCAGUGUCUCAAUCACUGUACAUCUAGUGGCUCUACACCUCAGCCUUCUAGCUAUUCUUCUCCAGUUGCUGAGCUGUGUCUUUCCAACGAUGGUGGUGCUGGUGUGCUGAGAAUGGAGCAGAAGGCCCGAAAUGCUUUUCCAGAAGUGGAAAGGGUUUGGCCCGAAAUGCCAUCCUACAAACCUGCUUUCCUUGCAGUUGCUCAUAAUCAAGAAUAAAUCAAAGAAUAGAUGGAUAAAUUAAAUUUAAAAAGAAUGAAACCAUCAUAUUUUUACUUUCAACCAAUCCUGACUUUAAAAACUAGCAUUAGGAACCAGGCCGCCCAUGGGGGACACCGGCAUUGAUGUUUCUGUUCUAGGCAGGCAGAAGGUGCUUGGCAGAUGUUACCAGAGUUCUGUACUAGUGUGUACAAGCACAGUUUUGGAGGGAAAACAGACACAGCGUGAUAUAGACAAGCGUCAGGCUUCAGAAAGGGGCUGCCACUUGUUAAAGUGUGUGGUAGGUGUUCAGCAGGCCACUGUGUCUAAGAGUAGUCGCUAGUGAGCUAUACUCCUUGGGAGAUCCCACCAGGAAAUAGAACUUAUCCAGAAUGUCUUUCUAGACACUCAGAAUGUACUUCAGUUGGUAGAAUACUUGCCUAGCACGAAUGGAACCCUAGCAGAGCAUAAACCAGGCUUGCUAGUACAUGCCUGCAAUCCCAGCACUCAGGAUAAGGAGGCAGGAGGAUCAGAAAUUCAAGGCCAGUCUUAGCUACAUAAUGAGUUCUAGGCCAUCUUUGCGGACAUGAGACCACAU